rnacentral:lncRNA from 1 species
GUAAGCCCGGUGCAAGGCGUUUCGAGGCUGGCCCUGGGCAGAGCUGAGAGGGAAGGACCUGAUGAUCUCUGCCUUUCCAUCCUCUCCUUCACUGCUCCUUUGCUGGAAUCCUUCCCAAAACCCACGUCCGGCAUCCACAGUCUAUCAACGGCAUCCCAGUCAUCUGGUAUAUUCUUAUUUUACCAUGAGAUGUUGAACACUAAAAAAAGGCUUCAAGACCUCCAUAUGAACUGCUGAUGACAUCAUUUCAGACCUCUGGAGAAAGAUAUUUAAGACGGAAGACUCUCUAGAGAGGGUGACUUCAAAGUUGCCAGUGCUCUUGUCCCUCUACUGACCCUUACAAACAUGAGACCCUAAGUGGUUUAGUAAUGAGGGCUCUUUCUCUGACUCAGGCUUCUCCAGAGAGCACCUUGAGCACAGUAUCUCCUGUUUCAAGACCAUCUGAGGACCAUUCUACAUGUAGGAGUCUGCUAGGGCUGCCAUUACAAAACUCCACAGACUGGGUGCUUAAACAACAGAAAUUAGUUUUCUCACAGUUCUGGAGGCUGGAAGUCCAAGACCAAGGUGUCAGUAGAUUUGUUUGCUUCUGAGACCUCUCUUCUUCUUGCUAUGUCCUCACAUGUUUGUCCCUCUGUCCUAAUCUCCUCUUCUUAUAAGGACAUCAGUCAUAUUGCAUUAGGGUUCACUCAUACCACCUCAUUUUACCUUAAUUAUCUCUUUAAAGGCUCCGUCCUCAAAUACAGUCACUUUCUGAGGUACUGAGGGUUAGGACUUUAACAUAGGAAUUUUAGAGGGACGCAAUUCAACCCAUCACACUAUCCUCCCAUCAGAAAGGAAUUUCAAAAGCCAGAGAAGGGUAAAGCUGUUGUUCUUCAGUUGUAGCUAGGAACAUCAAACCUGGCUUUCUUGGAAGAGAAAAGGUCCUAGAAUCUAAAGUGUGAAAGAGAUGUUUCAAAAAGAAGAAACCAUGGGGCCAGCCCAGUGGCAUAGUGGUUAAGUUUGGCAUACUCCACUUUGGUGGCCCAGGUUCAUGGGUUUGGAUCCCAGACAUGGACCUACACCACUUGUAAGCCAUGCUGUGGUGGUGACCCACAUGUAAAGUGGAGGAAGAUUGGCACAGAUGUUAACUCAGGGCUAAUCUUCCUCAGCAAAAAAAAAAAAAGAAGAAGAAGAAGAAAGCUAUCAGAGAUUUCCCUACUGAGUUUAGCUCAAGGAAAAAAAAUGUAUUGACUGUGAACCUACUGUGACACUACCCAAAGAAAGCUGAGAGAUCUCCUGCAUUGUCACCAGAAGGUGCAGGAUGGGGGUUAUCAUUUAGUCGGAUGCAUUAGGGACUUUGGUCAGCAGGCCAUGAGUGAAACAGGCUGGGAUCACCCAGGCUUGACAACUCAAAAGAGUGAGUAAUCUGCUGUUCUCCCAGAUCCAGUAAGAACCUAUGACACUGCUUCAGAGCUAUUUGCCAUCUAAGGCAGCUCCAUCAUUUCCUUCUCCUUUUUUUUUUAACUUUCAGUAACAAUAAUGAUAAUAGCAACAACAAUAACUAUACCACAUAGCAAACUCUUUCUGCACAGCAGGCAUUGGGUUCAUUGCUUUGUAUACAUAUCCCACUGAACCCUCACAUUAUUAUCUCUAUUUUAUAUAGGCAGAAACUAUCCAAGGUCACAGAGCUCAUAGGAGGAAGAGCUGGUAUUUGAACCAAGAACUCUGACUCCAGAGCCCUCCGCUACUUCCCUUCAUUAGUCCGCCUUCAGGAGACAAUGAAGUUUGGCUAGAACAGCGUGGUGGGGAAACACAAGCUUUAGCCUCACAUAAGCCAGUGUUCAAAUCCCAGCUCAACAACCACGGCCAAGUUAUUUACUCUCUCUGUCUUCAGUUGCUUCCUUUACAACUGGGGAUAAUUUAUGAAAAAGUCCAAUCAAAGCAACUGAUACACAACAUCUCUCAUUUGUAUUAUUAUUUCCUCCCCCAGGUCCAGUCCACGAUUAAACAUGUAACAAUAUAAACCAAUAAAAUUGCACCAAUACAUAAAAUGAAGUAUAGCCUUGCAUUACAAGUUUACGUUAAUUGGUACUACUAAUUUGAAGCUAUCCCUUUAGCUCUUUCUUCAGCAAAGGCAAAAUUUAGAGGGACCCUUCUUUUUUCCCUUCCUUUCUAAAAUCACUACUGAUUGCUUAUUAACAUUGCAUUUUCAUUUUCCCUGUGGCAUCUCAAUCCUUAGGAAGAUUCAAUGAAUAAUUUAAAAUUCAUAUUUAAUUUAUUAUACAUGCUUACAGUAACUAUUUUCAUGGACCGAUGCUUGUUAAAGUUCUCAAGGCCUGAAGGAACAGGUGGCUUCAUUAAAAAUGUAUUUCUCAGUUUUCUUGAAGGAUUCUUUUUUAAAAGUGCUAGGACGAGCACAUUCAUAGUUAAUUGACAAUAGAUUACAUGCUACUCUAUUCACUGCAUUUGAAGAAACACUGCUUUUUUGGUCUGAUGAACCUGUUCUCCCCAUUUGAAGCGCCCUACGACAAGUUAAAUACGGCCACAAAUUCUUUACCGCAACUCCCAUCAAAAAGUGGAAUCUAUUUCCCCACUGCCUUGAAUAUGGGCUGAUUUUGUGACAUGCUUUGACCAAUAAGAUGUGGCAGGAGUGACAUCCUAUGCCUUCCAAGCCUUGGCUUCCAGAAGCCCUGAAGCUUCCACUGUCACCCUCUUGAACACUGCUGCCGUGUGAACAAGCCCAUCUGUGAGGGUGAGAGAGACCACGUGGAGAAAGAGCCCCAGCAGUCCAGUCAUCACAGGAUCCUUCACCAAGGCCCCCAACUGUGAGCUGUGAGCGAGGCUGUCCAUGACCAGCGGGCCCACCAGCAACUGCAAACAAAUGCAGAGUUGAGAUUAGCUAUCCUAGCUGAG